CCUUUUCAAAAAACUUUUCCAUUUCCCACACUUCUCUUUCUCUCCCUUGUCAUAUGCACGUUCUUCUCUCUCUCUCUUUCUUUCUUCUCUCACCCGCUUUCUCUCUUCCUUCAACAUUCAAACCCUAAAUUCAUGGUCAUCUUCUUUCUCCCUCAUCUCCGCUUCUCCCCUUCUCCGAUUCAAACCCUAAAUCUCUGAUUCUCCCCUUCUCUGUUUAAAGAUAUGUUGGAGUGUUCUGGCGAAAAAAAUGGCGGAGGAAAGGAUGGUUUCACGGUGGCUGCAUUUUUCCAAGAUCACAGGGACAAUCCUUCUCGUCUAUUUCUUUUAGUUGUCGUUUGAUAGUAUCAUAAUGUUUUUCUUUAACUUUAAAUCUUCACUCUGUUAAUGAAUGAUGAUUUGUGUUUUCAGCUUCAAAUGGAAACAUUACAUAUCUGAUUGGAUGCCGACUUUCGGUUGGUGAUGUGCUACUUUAACUGAGCUUAUUCCAUGUGGUUGUUGUAAAUCAUGACAAGUUAAUUAAGCUUACUAGACAUCUUACGUGUUACAUUUAUUCCAUUAGAAAAGUUAUCAGAAAGAAUCUAGAUGUGGCUUCAAAGGUAGCUUUCUUUUGGUUCUUGUCGGUGUAAAGACCGUUAGCCUUUGAGUUCGGUGUCAUUUCCGCCGCAUCGCCGACAUUGACACAUUCAGCAUAGUGAACAAGAGUGUUGAUAAUUGUUGCCGGUAAUGAUAUGCAAAAACAAGGGUGGUAAAGACCGUUAGCUUGAGUUCGUUGUCAUUUCUGCCGCAUCACCGACAUUAACACAUUCAGCAUUAUAAGUAGCUUAAGGAUUUGAGUAUCAAAGAUUUAAUGGUGGAGAAUGUGGAAGAAGAGGAUCCUAACAUGGCUGUGAAUUUGUUAACUGUGGCUGGCACAGGUAAUGCUGCUAUUCUAGAGGAGCUUCUAAGAGCUGGUCCUGUCCAAGUACGCAAGAUCCCAGGGUUCUAUUUGACAUAUUACACUUUUGAAUAAGUUCUGCACUGGACCCUUUGUGUUUAAUAAAUACAGAUUCUGUUUCGAGACAUUUGAAUAUUUUUGUUUGUUUUUAAGGGUGGUCUCUUAAGAUAAUAUUGUUUUGAGUCCUUUAAAGCAGUAUAAUGCAGUUGUGUACUUGGUUGUUGAUGUGUGUAGCAGUACUUUGAAUGAUAUUUCUAAGUUAAUCCAACUAAAGGAAAUG